CCCAGUAUAUAUCGCUUCUCCUUCUUCUGGAGUUCUGGAAACCUAGCCGCCCGUCUCCUUCUUCUUCUCUACCGACUCAAUCUAACAUCUUCAUCUCCAAUUCAUUGGUGGUAGCUUCUGGAAUUAGAGGCUUAGAGCUGGUAAUUUGCUUCUCUUCUUCUUCUUUUAAUCUUUCUCUUUCUCUUCUUCCUUCCAAUAAAAUCAACACAAAGGUAAUUCAAAAUUCAAAUUCACUUCACUUUGUUCUUCUUUCUUUCUUUCUUUCUAAGUUCUUGGUUUCUGUUUUUGUUUAUUCUGUAAUGUUCAGAUCAUUCGUUAGAAUUCAUUUAGUUUAGUGUUUGGGGUUGAAUAGAAUUGGGUUUUGGGGAAAUGGGUUUGUUUGAAGUUUGAUUAAUAUGUUUUUGUUAAUUUUAAAUUGACAAAUUAAUGUACCAAAACAUACUCUUCAAUUGGUUCAUAUGAACAGACUAUAGCGUAAUCAGAUUCUUAUUUGUAUUUUUGUUGUUAGUUUUAUACUUAUAGCCUCAUUUUUAAUCUAUAUAAUUUUGUUUACUUGUGUUCCUGUUUCCAAACAUGGAAAUGUUUAUCAUUUUUGUUGGGUUUAUGAUUCUUUGUUUAAGCGAAUUGGGUUUCAUUUCAAUGAUUCUUCUUCUUUUUCAGAAAAAGGCUGCAAACGAGCUAAACGAGCUUGGAGGGCUCGAGCUCGAGCUCGAGCCUAAACGAGCUUGGAGGGUUCGAGCUUGAUUCGAGCUAAACGAGCUUGGAGGGCUCGAGCUUGGCUCGAGCUAAACGAGCCUAACGAGCUC
rnacentral:lncRNA from 1 species